UGUGAGAAUGCCCUUUCCCCCCGGCAGGAGAAAAAGGAGCAGGCAUCAGGCACACACUAGUGGCCCCAAAACGCCCUUGUUAGCCACACCCCCAAGGGAACGCAGCAGUGACAAACAUUAAGCCAUAAGCGAAAGCUUGACUUAGUUAGGGCUAACAGAGCCGGUAAAACUCGUGCCAGCAACCGCGGUUAUACGAGAGGCUCGAAUUGAUGCACCACGGCGUAAAGUGUGAUUAAAGAUAAUCAAAACUAGAGCCAAACACCCCCUAUGCUGUCAUACGCCAUGGGGGUCACGAAGCCCAACAACGAAGUGGUUCUAUUAACCUUGAACUCACGACAGCUAAGAUACAAACUGGGAUUAGAUACCCCAUUAUGCUCAGCCUUAAACUAAGGCGAUAAACUUACAAGACUCGCCCGCCAGGGAACUACGAGCCCUAGCUUAAACCCAAGGGCUUGGCGGUGCCUCAAACCCACCUAGAGGAGCCUGUCCUAUAACCGAUGAUCCCCGUUAAACCUCACCCUUCCUUGCCAACCCCGCCUAUAUACCGCCGUCGCCAGUUUACCUUUUGAGGGAAUAAAAGUAAGCAAAAUGGGUAAUACCCAACACGUCAGGUCGAGGUGUAGCGAAUGGAAGGGAAAGAGAUGGGCUACAUUUUCUGGUAUCAGAAUAUUACGGAAAAAGUAUUGAAAAAGUACUAUUUGAAGGUGGAUUUAGCAGUAAAAGAAAAAGAGAGUUCUUUUGAAAACCGGCCCUGAGGCGCGUAC
rnacentral:rRNA from 1 species